GAAUUUUCGGCAAUGGGCGAAAGCCUGACCGAGCAACGCCGCGUGAGGGAAGAAGGUCUUCGGAGCGUAAACCUUUGUCAUCGGGGACGAUGAUGCCGGUACCCGAGGAGGAAGCCCCGGCUAACUACGUGCCAGCAGCCGCGGUAAUACGUAGGGGGCGAGCGUUGUCCGGAAUUACUGGGCGUAAAGGGCGCGUAGGCGGUCUAAUAAGUCAGAUGUGAAACCCCCGGGCUUAACCCUGGGCUUGCAUUUGAAACUGUUGGACUUGAGGACAGGAGAGGAAAGCGGAAUUCCCAGUGUAGCGGUGAAAUGCGUAGAUAUUGGGAGGAACACCAGUGGCGAAGGCGGCUUUCUGGACUGCACCUGACGCUGAGGCGCGAAAGCCAGGGGAGCGAACG
rnacentral:rRNA from 1 species